UACGUAGGUGGCGAGCGUUGUCCGGAUUUACUGGGCGUAAAGGGCUUGUAGGCGGUCCGCUAAGUCUGGUGUGAAAUCUCCCGGCUCAACUGGGAGGGGUCAUUGGAAACUGGGGGACUUGAGUGCAGAAGAGGAGAGUGGAAUUCCACGUGUAGCGGUGAAAUGCGUAGAGAUGUGGAGGAACACCAGUGGCGAAGGCGACUCUCUGGUCUGUAACUGACGCUGAGGCGCGAAAGCGUGGGGAGCAAACAGG
rnacentral:rRNA from 1 species